CAUGCAAGUCGUGCGCCUCCUAGCCAUGUUGGAGGCGCGGCGUACGGCUCAGUAACACGUGGUUAAUCUGCCCUUAGGACUGGAAUAACUCCGGGAAACUGGAGCUAAUGCUGGACAGGCGAAGAUGCCUGGAAGGGUGCUUCGCCGAAAAGGCGUCGAAAACAUGCUUUUGACGCUGCCUAAGGAUGAGACCGCGUCCGAUCAGGUUGUUGGUGGGGUAACGGCCCACCAAGCCGAUAACCGGUACGGGCCCUGAGAUGGGGAGCCCGGAGAUGGAACCUGAGACAAGGUUCCAGGCCUUACGGGGCGCAGCAGGCGCGAAAACUCCACAAUGCACGAAAGUGUGAUGGGGUUACCCCGAGUGCCGUCCGUUGAGGAUGGCUUUUCAUCGGUUUAAGGAGCCGGGCGAAUAAGGGGGGGGCA
rnacentral:rRNA from 1 species